UACGUAGGUGGCGAGCGUUGUCCGGAAUUAUUGGGCGUAAAGCGCGCGUAGGCGGGUUAGUCAGUCUGUUGUAAAAGCGCGGGGCUCAACCCCGUAAGUUCAUUGGAAACUGCUAUUCUUGAGUGCAGGAGAGGAGAGUGGAAUUCCCAGUGUAGCGGUGAAAUGCGUAGAUAUUGGGAGGAACACCAGUGGCGAAGGCGGCUUUCUGGACUGUGACUGACGCUGAGGCGCGAAAGCCUGGGGAGCGAACGGG
rnacentral:rRNA from 1 species